rnacentral:lncRNA from 1 species
GAACAUGAGGAGGAACCAAACCCAGUAUUCACAGAGUUUGCCUUUUUUAGAGCAUGAGGUGUUAUAAUCACUGGAAGAAGCGCAAACUCGGCUGUAGCUCAUGGAAAAGGACGAGUUGGUUACCUGGCACUGGAAAUAGAGGAACUUUCUGGAACAAAAAUAUUGUGAGCGGUCACUCCAAAUAGUAGAUCCCUGGGCUGAUUUUUAUUAGUAUUUCCAAGUGCAAGCAACAGAUCAUGUGCAAAGUGAGGCACCAUUAACUCGGCAUCGAAUGGUUAAUCCGCCAUCUGCAUCGGACGUUCCACGGUCUUCGUGUUCCACCCAACACCAGGCAACACAACUGUCAAGAAUGUGCUGCCGGCUCCAGCAUCUCCUGACUACUGUAUGAGGGUGUGUCAUUGGAACCAAAAACAAAAAGGCAAGCAGUCCGACGAUCCACCCAUGGGCCAAGCAAAAGAAAAGGUCAGCACGAUUUUAUUGCAGCAAAUUAAAGAAUGGCUGAAUGUUCAGACCAAUGAUACAAUAUUGUUUAACUAUAUGUAGAUGUGCCGCUAAAGAGUCUUUUCCUUUAAAGAGCCACGAGGAAGAGGAAGCUAAUCUUUAGAAGUAGAACAUGUCAGAAGCCUACCGUGUCAAAAUAAUCAUAGGUGCUACUGUUUGUUCAUCGUCUAAGCGUUCUUUCCUUUUGAACUAAGUACCUUGUGGUUUCAUAGCUUUUGAAUUGAUGUCCUUUCAGCUGUAAUGAUAUCCAUCUGCUCACGUAUCAACUUAGUACAUCUAUUAUUCAUCCACUAGCACAUAUGCCUGUGCGUUGCAACGGGAGAUAAUUAGUAUGCAUUUAAAGUCAGUGGGAAUUAUAUGUGCAAGCAAAAUCCUGUGUGCACAUGAAAAACGAACAUUUAGCUUCUCGGUUUCGCCGUGUCUGAAGGAAUCAAUCCACUUUUUUUAUAUUCAUUCAUUGAGGGUAUUUAAGAGUUUUGUUACGUCAUCGUAUGCCACAGAAGGCCCAUGAGUUAUUUAAUCCACCCUUCCUUUCAAUCGAGGAUUUUAACGUAUGAAACUUCUAAAUAUUCUAGGAAACAUAAACAAUUUUUUCAAUCCCGAAGAGUUUUUUGAAAAUUAUGUACACUUUUGAAAAAACACGAACGAAAUAUGAAAGGGAACAUUUUUUAAAAUUCACAAACAUUUUCUGAAAACACCAACUUUUUNNNNNNNNNNNNNNNNNNNNNNNNNNNNNNNNNNNNNNNNNNNNNNNNNNNNNNNNNNNNNNNNNNNNNNNNNNNNNNNNNNNNNNNNNNNNNNNNNNNNUUUCAGUAGUACACAUGGAUUCAAAUAUUUCAAAAAUAAUUUCAAAACAUUGUUUAAUUGAAUUCAAGUGAAUAUUUUGGCCUUUUGGCAAAUGUAAACCGAUAUAACUGGAACUCGUUGAAUUUCAGUUGGUGCUGAAUGUUUUUCUGAAACUGAAAGUGAAAACCUUGUCUAGCAUUGUGGCACAUCAUAUGAAUGAUUUUGUGUAUUGUUUUACUUGGUGGACUUCCUGGUGUUGCCUGCUGAAGCUACAUGGCUAUGUCCUGCAGCACAAUGCUUGGAACAAUUGUAAAAGGUCACUGCCAUUGUAUACACAAAUUUAUUCCCAUAUUCUGGACAUAUAAAGUACAGUGGCAUCAUUUCAUGAAUGUGGAACCAGAUUGCCCCAAACUGAUUUUUUCAUAAAUUUUAAUUUAUUGGUGUAAAAUAUGGAGUGCGUCAUUACUUUGUAAUAUCAGGUUUGUUCAUAUAAAUAUCUGACUCUGAUUUUACUUUGCCUUGCCAUUUCAACCUGUCUAGGCUGUGGAGCUCUAGAUGUAGAAGCUCCCCUACGCCCACCCUUUUAGGCGCAGCCGCUUGCCGCUGCAAACAUCAAUGAUUCCAGUGAUGACCAACUAUUUGGUGAAAUGUCAGAACAGCCGAAGGUUUAUUUUCCUUCCAAUCGGUCUGGAUAGACUGCGAUGUUAUUUUCCCAGAUUUGUGGUCUUCCAAAAACAACAGACUGUUCCUUAAACAGAUCAAAAGCAACUCCACAGCCAGGCUAAAUUUCUUAAGGAAUUUUAGUCGUAAACUACAUGUCGUGGUAAUUAGUUAUGUACUCUCUUUAUUUGGUUUAUCUUGGUCACAAUAUGUAGUGUUAGGUCUAGAAAGAUAUAUUGUAAGGGUGAGCAGUUUAUUGAAUGAUGAUGAUAUUCUCUUUUUUACAUAAAUUUGAGAUUUUUAUUAUGGUAAACAGAUCUCGUUUAUGAUGAAAGGUGAGAAUUUUACCAAUGGGUGAUGAAGAAACAUGCUUUACCAUAUCCUCUAAUCAGUUCUGGAGAUAUUGCUAUGCUCCAAAAGGAAGCUCCUGUCCUGGGCUACAACUUACUGGCACAUCCAGUUGAUGGUAAGCAUUAUUCAGUAAUGUUUACAGGGCAUAAUAUUUAGAUAGAUGGAUAAAUCUAAUUGUCACCACUCACCAAGUAUAGUCUUGUGAUUCUUCAAAAGCCAAAUGAUCUUUUCUGUGACCUUUGAAGCUCAGUUCCUGUCUUCGCAUCUCAGUUCAACGCUUAUGCGCUGAUCUACAUUGAUUACAGUUUUACUUGAUGAAUUAUAUUUGCAGUGUGAUCAAAAUAUAGAUAUAAUCAUACUGUUUGUGAUUUGUCUUCCUUCCUCAAAUAUGGAUCCUUGCAAAUACUUGGUCAUUAGAUGUUGUCUCUAUAGUUAUUUUUCUGUUCGAUGGAAUAAUUAGGGUACUAAAACAUUGAUUUCACUUAAAAUCCCUUGGCAUCUAUUUCCAUUCUGCCACAUCCAUUAACCGACUGCCGUAUAUUACAAUUGCACAAGGUUAGGGGUAUGCCUCAUCAAAUCGAGUUACGAAAUGCAGGGCAGGGUGACAGGAACCAACUGAAACAACUAAUAAAAACAUGACCAGUUUAGAACCUACUGACACCAUGGUAUUAACACAAGUACUUAUUACCAUUGUUGCACCUAUGCAUGCUUUUAAGUAUUAACCUCAACAUAUGUUUUGACCCUUCUACAGAACUGAUACUACAAACUCACGAUUAAAAUCGCUGUGGUAAAUCGACCUAUGACUGGUGGUAUAUGGGAUGCAAAGUUUGCUGGAAGAAGCUGAAAAUGGCACAUUGAAAUGUCCUACAUGUUCCAAUCCAGAACCAUGACCAAGGUAUUUUUUACCCAUGUUACAUCUCAAUUGGUAACUGUGUCACAAGCAAACAAUUCACCACAAUUCCAUCAUGUAAAUAGGUACAAAAUAGCAGUGCUUGCAAUAGACAUGGAACAUGAGGAGGAACCAAACCCAGUAUUCACAGAGUUUGCCUUUUUUAGAGCAUGAGGUGUUAUAAUCACUGGAAGAAGCGCAAACUCGGCUGUAGCUCAUGGAAAAGGACGAGUUGGUUACCUGGCACUGGAAAUAGAGGAACUUUCUGGAACAAAAAUAUUGUGAGCGGUCACUCCAAAUAGUAGAUCCCUGGGCUGAUUUUUAUUAGUAUUUCCAAGUGCAAGCAACAGAUCAUGUGCAAAGUGAGGCACCAUUAACUCGGCAUCGAAUGGUUAAUCCGCCAUCUGCAUCGGACGUUCCACGGUCUUCGUGUUCCACCCAACACCAGGCAACACAACUGUCAAGAAUGUGCUGCCGGCUCCAGCAUCUCCUGACUACUGUAUGAGGGUGUGUCAUUGGAACCAAAAACAAAAAGGCAAGCAGUCCGACGAUCCACCCAUGGGCCAAGCAAAAGAAAAGGUCAGCACGAUUUUAUUGCAGCAAAUUAAAGAAUGGCUGAAUGUUCAGACCAAUGAUACAAUAUUGUUUAACUAUAUGUAGAUGUGCCGCUAAAGAGUCUUUUCCUUUAAAGAGCCACGAGGAAGAGGAAGCUAAUCUUUAGAAGUAGAACAUGUCAGAAGCCUACCGUGUCAAAAUAAUCAUAGGUGCUACUGUUUGUUCAUCGUCUAAGCGUUCUUUCCUUUUGAACUAAGUACCUUGUGGUUUCAUAGCUUUUGAAUUGAUGUCCUUUCAGCUGUAAUGAUAUCCAUCUGCUCACGUAUCAACUUAGUACAUCUAUUAUUCAUCCACUAGCACAUAUGCCUGUGCGUUGCAACGGGAGAUAAUUAGUAUGCAUUUAAAGUCAGUGGGAAUUAUAUGUGCAAGCAAAAUCCUGUGUGCACAUGAAAAACGAACAUUUAGCUUCUCGGUUUCGCCGUGUCUGAAGGAAUCAAUCCACUUUUUUUAUAUUCAUUCAUUGAGGGUAUUUAAGAGUUUUG